UUAAAUGUUGAAAUAUGGUGGUUUUGAAAAUUCGUCCUUAAGUUCUCAUUUCGAAGAAUUUUCAAAUUACUUGUCAAUUUUUAUUCUUGACUUUGAAUUGGUUGUGUUGAUGGUUUUUUCUAUGUUGGUAGGGAUGUGAGUUGUAAUAGCAUUGGUGGUGAAAUUUCUCACAGUUUACCUCCAAAUGCUACCUACAUAGACCUGACUGUGAAUAAUUUCAAUUCCAGCAUCCCUCACCCGAUCCCUUCUCUGAAAGUUCUCAGUUACUUCCUGUGCAGGAAUGUCAGCCACAAUUCCUUAACAGGUCCGACGGAAAGUGCGUUUACUAAUAUGCAGGAUCUAGAGCAGCUGUAAGUUCUCAAUCCACUUUGGCAUUUGUAACUAUGGGUAACAUUUUUUAUGUGGUCGAAUUGGGGUCAUUACUAAGUUAGUUAACAACUUCUUACUUACAUGGUCUGGAGUGAUUUCAUUUGUUAGUUAUUUGUCCCAAAAGAUAAAACUUCACAGUGAUCCAUUAAGUGGGUGCAUAUUUCAGGGAUUUAUCAUUCAACCACUUUGUUGAUUCACAAUCAUACAUUAUGUAAAAAACCUGAAAGGUCUAAAACCUCCGAUAUGUCUUUCCAUUCUCUUCCAGUUGCCGCACCAACAGGCAACACAUUCUUUGCUGCUGCUCGUUUAAAGUAUGGUUUUUGUGAGUCUUUAGAUGCAUGUUCAGUUUAACUGAAAAAUUUUCAUUAGAAGAUUGUGAAAGCUGCAUGAGAUGAUCCCAACCUUCUUAGUUUGCAUUAGGUGGUUAUUACUGUAACGCUUUUUUGAAGCUAAGUUGCUCCAGCCAAGAACAAACAUAUUUUCCCGAGUGGAGUUGAAUUACUCUAAAGAAAAUUUUCUGGACACUCAUAAGGUUUUAUAAUUUGCCUUUUGUUUACAUAGACUGACAGAUGGUGAUGCUGAAAAUGUCUGAAGCAUCUAUAGGGGAACAUGAAGCUUGGUCUGAUUAUCCCCAAAAUAGUCUAGAAGAUUUAACCUUUCUAUAUAUGUUAACCUUGCUUUAGAUUGAUCUUCAAUGUUCCCCACAAUUAAUAGGUUAAUACGCCAGAAGGAGAGCUUUCACCUUCAAUUUGAACUAUCGUUUUUCUAAUAAAGUGUUCAGCUGAUUGGAAAGUUCAGAAUCCAUGGACUUGGUCACAUAUAUUGAUGCCUUUUUAUCUUGCCCUUUUAACUCCACUGUAUCUUAGAUUGCCCACUCUGUAGGUUUCCUGUGCAAUCUAUCAGUUCUUACUCACACCUUUGAACAGACUAGGAGUUAUUCUAAUCAGUGAUGUCAUCAUACUUUAUAAAUGUUCUAACUACAUGCACAAUACUCUAAUCCUGCAGCAUACCUUCUGUCCAUGUUGGUAUAUUGCAAUGCUAUACAAAAAUGUGAAUACUCUUUCAAAUUUCGUUAAGCCUUUUUCUUAUUUUUUUUUCACCUAUGCCUAAAUACAUGGAGAAUUCCAGAUUAGACACAGACUCGCACUAAUUUGUAGCAUGUACCUGGAGCUGGAAGAAUGGUUUCCAAUCACAAAGUAGCUUAGUAUCCUUUCCUUUGCAAUGUCUAAAACUGCUGAAGAAAAAAAGUUUGAAUUGGAUUUUGCAAAAUGUUUGCAACAGAGUAUCAGAUCUUUGUUGUUCAAAUUAUAACAUUUCUUGCAGGUGUUAUCUCAGUCUCAUAAGUAUGUCUUAGCAAUUGUACAUGCGUACUUUUCAUAUUUAUUCAUAACAUUUCUA